rnacentral:rRNA from 1 species
AGAACGAACGCUGGCGGCAUGCCUAACACAUGCAAGUCGAACGAGACCUUCGGGUCUAGUGGCGCACGGGUGCGUAACGCGUGGGAACCUGCCUUUAGGUUCGGAAUAACUCAGAGAAAUUUGAGCUAAUACCGGAUAAUGUCUUCGGACCAAAGAUUUAUCGCCUUUAGAUGGGCCCGCGUAAGAUUAGCUAGUUGGUGGGGUAAAGGCCUACCAAGGCGACGAUCUUUAGCUGGUCUGAGAGGAUGAUCAGCCACACUGGGACUGAGACACGGCCCAGACUCCUACGGGAGGCAGCAGUGGGGAAUAUUGGACAAUGGGCGAAAGCCUGAUCCAGCAAUGCCGCGUGAGUGAUGAAGGCCUUAGGGUUGUAAAGCUCUUUUACCAGGGAUGAUAAUGACAGUACCUGGAGAAUAAGCUCCGGCUAACUCCGUGCCAGCAGCCGC